GGCGGGGUUCCCGAGCGGCCAAAGGGAGCAGACUGUAAAUCUGCCGUCAUCGACUUCGAAGGUUCAAUCCUUCCCCCACCACCA
rnacentral:tRNA from 1 species